rnacentral:tRNA from 2 species
UGAAAGUGCUUGAUUUUUCUCCCCUGCUAAGGGCGUAGGUCGUCUAAACAACGGCGCGAGGGUUCAAAUCCCUCCUACUCCGCCA